rnacentral:rRNA from 1 species
CACGCCCUAAACGAUGUCAACUGGUUGUUGGGUCUUUACUGACUCAGUAACGCAGCUAACGCGUGAAGUUGACCGCCUGGGGAGUACGGCCGCAAGGUUGAAACUCAAAGGAAUUGACGG